CCUACGGGUGACAGCAGUGGGGAAUAUUGCACAAUGGGGGCAACCCUGAUGCAGCGACGCCGCGUGAGCGAUGAAGUAUUUCGGUAUGUAAAGCUCUAUCAGCGGGGAAGAAAAUUACGGUACCUGACUACAAAGCCCCGGCUAACUCCGUGCCAGCAGCCGCGGUCAUACGUAGGGGGCAAGCGUUAUCCGGAUUUACUGGGUGUAACGGGAGCGUAGACGGCGAUGCAAGCCAGAUGUGAAAGCCCGGGGCUCAACCCCGGGACUGCAUUUGGAACUGUAUAGCUGGAGUGUAGGAGAGGCAGGCGGAAUUCCGAGUGUAGCGGUGAAAUGCGUAGAUAUUAGGAGGAACACCAGUGGCGAAGGCGGCCUGCUGGAAGAUGACUGACGUUGAGGCUCGAAAGCGUGGGGAGCAAACAGGAUUAGAUACCCCUGUAGUC
rnacentral:rRNA from 1 species